GAAUGAAAAAAUAUAUUCCAUUUACUUAAAAUGAUAAAUGUUGUCUCUAUUUUAUCUUCUUCUUUUUCAAUCAGAUCAUCAGUGGUUUAAAUCCUAAAACUAUCUGUGUUGAUGUUGUGUCUCUGCUUGUCUUCAGUGUGCUGAGAGCAGAGAAAUCAUUUCCAUAGAGACGAGGCUUUGCAUGGUCAGCUGAUCCUCCAGGGAACUGAGAAGGUUUAUAGUCCUGUGAGUUCAACACUGCAGGACUCAGAUCUGUCAGUCAACCCAGCAGAACCAACAAGCACCAUGACUCUCAUCACCAUCCUGAUCUGGACGCUGCUGACCUGCUGCUGUUUUACAGGAUGCAGCGCUCAGGUGACUGUGACUCAGCCUCCACUGAUGACAUUUACACCAGGAUCCACGACCACUAUAAAGUGUACAACAAGUCCUGCUGUUCGUAGAUGGUAUGAUGGUGAUGAGGGUAUGUUCUGGUAUCAGCAGAAACCAGGACAGCCUCCAAAGCUCUUGAUUAAAUAUGUGAAUAAUCUUGAGUCAGGAACACCAGAUCGGUUUAGUGGCAGUGGAAGCAGCUCUGUCUUCACUUUGACCAUCACUGGAGGUCAGGCUGAAGAUGCAGCAGUUUAUUACUGUCAGAGUAUCCAUGUAGUAAAUGACAACGAUGUGUUCACACAGUGAUUUGUAGCUGUACAAAAACCUCCUUCAGUCAGACUGCAAACACACUGAGCUGUUAGAGCAGAAACUGCAGCUGCUGAGGAGGAAGAGACUCUGAAACAGAUCAAUGAACCUCAGACUUUAAGAGCUUUGUUCAGUCAGUAAAUAUAUCAAACAUCAUUUAGGAUAAAACAUCAACAACUUCAACAGUUUUAGGCUUCCUUGAAGGGAACAUCUCAGUGUCCAUUUUUUAAUUAUUACACUGUAAUUUUGCAGCUCAGUGAACAGACAUUUCACCAGAGGGUGGAGCUGAUUAGAUAAUUUCAUGGAAAUUAUAACAAUUCAGACACAAAAAUAAUAGAUUUCUUCACAUAUGAAGGUAUAGAAAAUGUAAAGCAUCACCUGUCAGUGAGAUCUGAUUGCACCUCCUCUAUUAACUCCAGAAAACUAAUCCCAAGUGGUAGGACUGAGUCUAGAUUAAUCCGGAAAAAUUAUUUAAAAUCUAAGUCUGUCGGCGGUAUGCAUACUUUUGAGAUUACUGUACAAAUACAAGAAGAAAGCAACACAAUCAUAACCAAGUAAUAUGAGUACAAAUAAAAAUAUGUUGAAAUAGAAAUGUUCUUUUCAUUUAAAGUCUCUAAUUCUGAUCAAAGAUAUUUUCUGAAAUUAAGUGUUUCCUCUCAAGACUGUAGAGAUUAA